rnacentral:rRNA from 1 species
UACAGAGGGGGCAAGCGUUGUUCGGAAUUACUGGGCGUAAAGGGCGCGUAGGUGGCCUUCUAAGUUGAACGUGAAAUCCCCGGGCUCAACCCGGGAACUGCGUCCGAUACUGGAAGGCUUGAAUCCGGGAGAGGGAUGCGGAAUUCCAGGUGUAGCGGUGAAAUGCGUGGAUAUCUGGAGGAACACCGGUGGCGAAGGCGGCAUCCUGGACCGGCAUUGACGCUGAGGCGCGAAAGCCAGGGGAGCAAACGGG